CCAGUGAAGGCAUUGCCGUGUUUUGCAUGCAAUGCUGCUCCGUUCCCUUUCUCUUUAUGAUAUGAACAGAUUUUAAUACUACCACAUCACACUUCAGGAUUACUAUAUCUGUGGAGCUCCCUUGAGAAAACAUGCUAUUAAGGAGUCAGUAAGGAGACAGUGUCACUGAGCCAAUAAAAUAUAACGACAUACAUAUAGCAAAGCACACACACACUCAAAUAAAUGAAACCGCAUAAACUGCCAUAAUUAUUAACAAUUUUCAGUCUUGCAUUUCAAAACACAAAAAUCAAAGUAAAAAAACCAGAAGCAAAACCGACUCAAAGUUUGUGUUAUGUCUCCCUGAUUCAGACAGAAGGUUGGGGGGGGGGGGGGGGGGGGGGUGUUUGUGUGUGUGUGCGUGUGUGUGUGUGUGUGUGUGUGUGUGUGAGAGAAGGGGGGGGGGGUUGACAGCUGAAGAUAUUUGCAUGCACACACGGUCGCACACGCAGUCACAGACAAGGUGCAAGGGACUUAUCAGCCAAGAUAAGGCCUGGCUGGCCUUUUUACCUGGGGAAUCCAGGUCUAAUCUGAGAAAGACUGUCAGGAACAAAGAGAGACCGCUUCCUCCAGGACAGCAGAGCUAAAGUGAGGCCCAACUUUGCUCCUCAGCUUUUAUCUCUUCCCUUCAUUUAGGCCCACACUUAUUGUUCCCAUAAUGCAGUGCUUUUAUCCUUGUGCAGUGACCCCAUUGCUUGUGGAUACUGUCUCUCUUGUCCUGUCACUCUUUAAUAUGUGAGAGAAUAAAUAUUUACAUUUGAUCAUUUUUCUCUUUUUUCUUAUUUUGCAAAGUUGACUUUGUCCUCCAUGCUGUCUACCAUCAGUGAGGUCAAUUUGCCCGAACUAUUUAUUCACCUGGCAAAAUGAGCACAAACAGUUUUGCAUCAGAUUAAUAAUCUGUCAAAUACGCCAAUGGUAAUUUAUGGACCUACUGGUCAGUACAACGUUUACUGACCAAACAAAUCAUUUGCAUAUAAAACAGUGUCCUCACAAUCAGACACUACAGUGGUUACACUGAGGCAUAAGCGCCUGCUCAUACACACAAAUUACCAUUAGCCUAAAAAAAAAAAAAAAAAAGUAAAAAAAGUAAACAACUGUGUUAACAUCAUCUCAUUAAUUCACAUAUGUUGUCUCAUGUCUCAGCUGUGCGAAUCUGUUAAGAGAGUUCUCUUAAAAUCAUCACCAAAAAAUUUAUUUUUUCAAAUAAAAGUACAUAAAAAAUCCUCCAAAGAUAACUGUCAUUCAGGAUGUGCAUGAACACUUUGACAUACUGCUCAUAAAUAGAGUAGAUAAGGCAGACCCGAGACUCCUGUUCCUCAGUCAGUGGCCACUGGAUUUCCUGCAUAUUCAAAGAGCCUAAUUCCUCACUCAUAUAAAUAUGUUAUUUUCAUCCUGCCAGCAUGACAAAUCCUUGAACUGUAUGCCACUUUUAGUUGGCGCCACCAAAAAUGCCAUAUUAAUGUCAAAAGAGAUGUAACGAUUUAGAUCCGUCAGAUUGCCUGAUGUCAGAGCACACCCGUCCUUGGAGAUGGUUCAUUCGAGAUUUCCCAUCAGAGUCCAAGGUGGAAAGAAGAUAAGCCUGCUCUUUGAAUUGUGAAGCUCUAGAGGAAACAGAGGGCCACAAGAUUUUUAGAAACUUUACUAUCACCUGCUCUUUGGCACGGUUCCUAGCUGAGGUCAUUUCAGCAUAUAGGACUAUACGGUGAAGCAUGUGUAAACAAAUUUUAAAACCUACACAAAUGCAUGGUUUUAUGUGUGUUUGAGUGUGUGUGUGUGUUCCCUUGUCUCCAUUGAGUGUGCUGUAAAGCAUCAGUGUUUAAUGAAGGAACUGGUAGAGGUCAGGAGGACACCGGAGCACCACCUGUCCAGGCCAGAGAGUGCAGCAAACGCUGCCUCCAUUUUAAGGGUCAUUAAUUACGCAGACAGGGAUUAUUCUGCAUAGCUUCCUCUUAUGCUUCCUCAUCCCUGACACAGCUUAACAGGUUCAAGCUCCGAUACAUCAAAUUCAAGAUAAAAUCUCCAAUAACAAUUAAGCCGGAAGCACGCAAAUUGCUGAAGAAGAAAAAAAAUGGUCAAUACCUAUUACUGCCUCUGAAUACUAAAAUAACAAAUCGCCUUUUUUCCCUUUUUUUUUUUUUUUUUUUUUUUUUUUGCAGCACAAAUAAUAAACACUGGAACUUGUGGAGAUAUGACUCAGCACAGCACAACAAAAUGUGAAUCAGCUCAGCAUAAACAAAUGCAUGUAUUAUGAGAAAAAUACAACACCAAAAAUAAGUGUCUAUAGAUGUUUAUCUCUCUAUGCCAGAUAGAUGGUUUGUCACUAAAUUAGGCUAGAUUUAAACUGCUGUUGUAGGGUUUUUUUUUUUGAUUGUCUACAGAUUGGGGUUGAGCAUUUUGCAUACACGAGAUUAAUAAUAUAUCUAUUUCAAGCCCUUAAAGCUCCCAGGACACAAUGGUAGGUCCAAACAUACUGUGCGUUCUUCACACCCGUUGUUACAGCCAUUUUGCCAUUUUGUUGUGGAGUUGGAAUUUGGGGCUGUUUUUGAUCUGUUUGUUUGGGAUUGUGUUGUGUUUUGUGAGGUUUGGUGGUGCAAUUGCUCCUGGGUCAUGGGUCACGUGUGGUGUGGGAGGUGUAUAUAACGUGGGUUAACCUUCCAACAGGCGCGGAUGGAAAUGGAGAGCUGGGAAGCACACCUAUUUUGACCACGCUCCUGCACGCCAAUUCACAAUAAGUCAUUUUACGUUAAAUUCAAUAGUAAGGUUUCAUUUCAAUAAGUUUUCAUUCAUUAUUUGUUUUUGUUAAGAAAAAUAAAGGUCUUUUUAUCUACGGCAUGCGAGAGAGUGCGUUAAUCCAACCCUGGUUCCCCCGUUUCCCCUGCAUCGAACAAAUCGCUGACACACUCGUAUUUAAACAGCCAGUUAUUAUAAGGGGGUAAAAUCACUUUAAGAGCAUAAAAUCCAUGUUCAAAAGAAAUAUACUCAAAAACAAUAUUAAACUGACCUCAAAAGCACAUUCCUAAACUUUUCAGCAUGCAUUAGAAUUGGUCUCUUCUUAUAAGUGUUCCUCAUCAUCUCAUUCUCAAAUUUAGCAGUAUUAGUUUAAUAUAUGAAUGUAUAAAUUUAUGUCAGAGAAUUGGUCUUCUCAUUGUAAUAGCUGGAAACAGGUAUAUGUAUUACUUAAUACUUUCUUUAACAACAUACAAAUGUUUCCCUGUAACUUCAUUUUUAAUAUUGUUGUUACUGUUGUUGUUGAAAAUUUAUGGUUGAAAACUUAAAAUAUUCCUUUAUCUCCUGAUACACUAUCACUAAGUCACUAAGUCACUAAGGAUAUGGUUUGGGAAGUCAGUGGAUAGGGUUUGGGAAGUCAAUGGAUAGGGUUUUGGAAAUCAUUGGAUAGGGUUUGGGAAGUCAGUGGAUAGGGUUUGGGAAGUCACUGGAUAGGGUUUUGGAAAUCAGUAUAUAGGGUUUUAGAAAUCAGUGGACAGGGUUUUAAAAAUCAGUGGAUAGGAUUUUAGAAAUCAGUGGACAGGGUUUUAGAAAUCAGUGGACAGGGCUUUAGAAAUCGGUGGACAGGGUUUCCGAACCCUGUUUCUGACCAUCAGUGUUUUAUUCAUUGUAAGUACCCUGUAUAGUACACUCAUACAUCAUCUCUCUGCAUGAAGUCCUCUACACCACAAAUAAGAUGACAAUUGCUGUAACUUAAUGUGUGUGCGUGUGUGUGUGUGUGUGUGUGUGUGUGUGUGUGUGUGUGUGUGUGUGUGUGUGUGGUGUGUUUGUGUGUGUGUGAGUGUGUGUGUGUGCUUUAUGUUCCUGCUAUUCUCCUGCUUUAUUGGUUGUUAACAGCAAAUGUCCACAGUCCAACAGUGGUUGAACAUCACUAUGGUGAUUGAUUCACUGGGUCAUUGCCCAGGCUUUCAUGUUGCUCCAAACACACCUUUCCCUCUACUACAGUAAACAACACACACACACACACACACACACACACACACACACACACACACACACACACACACACACUCACAUAUACACACAGCCAGUUGCACAGGAGGGCAUCACAUACACGUUCCAUUAUUCAUCCUCUCUCUCAGGCUGCUGACAAUCCUUCUCAGAUGACACUUCUCAGUGGCUCUACUGCCGACUUCAAAACAAGUGUGAAAGUGUCCACCAGCAUGAAACAUGGAGCCAUGCAAUAUGCAUAGUACACAAUAUUCACAGAUAAAAUAGUUAAACGCUUACCAGAAUGCCAUAUCAAGCCACCAAGUAUUAUUCAGUGCUGUGAUACUGAAUGUGACAUGGAAGUUUAUGGCUUUAUUUUGUAUCAUGUGAGUGUUUGUUGGUUCUGGUUGUACACAACGUCAACAUCUCCACCCAAGAAUCAAUCACUAUGGUGGUGUUCAACCAGUGUGUGUGUGUAUUCGUACACAGCCAUGGACACACAGGAAAUAAUAAAAUGUGAAAGACUACACUGAGCUUCAUGAACACUGCAUAUAACUGAAAAGAAUGGGGUGGAAAAAACAUUAUCCAGUAUUGAAGUCCAGCUUCAUUCUGCGACUCACCUAACCAGUGAAACAAACUCACAGAGAUAAAGCAGAAAUGUUUAACAAGGCUUUAAAUCCAUUCUAAUCUGCACCUAACUGUUAUGUCUUAAUUAAAAAUGUAAAUACCACCCUACUUCAUAAAAUCUCGGGUGACCUACAUUAGAAUUAAUGAUGUCGCCGGAUAGCGUGCAGGACGUCGGAGGAGAUUCCCAAUGAAAGAGAAUUAGAAAGAAGCUGACCCAAAUACAAUCUCACCAGCAGAGGAAUCAUGUUAUGCUAAGUAGGCCAUAAAGGUACUUAAAGAUUAUGCAAAAAUUCUCUUUUAGUAGAUGACAUGAAGCAAUGAAAGUCGGGCAAAUCUCCUGGUACGGAAAAGGUUCCCACCCAGCUCAUUACAGGGCACAAGAAGACAUGUGAACACAGAGCUGAGACAAUAUCGAGCGUAUCAAAAUCUUAUUCAGACAUGAAAUGUAUGGUGUGUUUAACCAUGUUUAACCAUUGUCUCGAUUUAAGAUGCGGUUAGAAUGACGCAAAAACACUAUCUACAUGGGAUUCCCAAGUGCCACAAAAGAAAGGUGUUUGCUAUAUCAUCUGGAGAGCAUGAGAUGGAAUCCUGAUGUUGAGAUGUCAUCCAUGGCCUACCCAGUCUCACAGAGAGAAAACAAACAAACAAACAAACAAAAUGUUCACUCGCAACUUAUCUGCAGCACCUCCUGUAUGUAUCAAAUGUAUAAUGUAUCACUUGAAUGCUCUUUAUGGCAUUUUCUUCACCAAUGCAUUUUAACUAAACUAACAUGAACACAUACGCUAUUUGAAUAAGCUCAAUAUGUAUUAAAUAAUUUACCUCUCUUUUACAUAAUUGAUCUCUUUUUUAACAUAACCUUGUGCUUUCCAUGACAUAUGAUUAGACUUUCCAAACUAAUGAAACUUCUCCUGUUCACUGCAAACACAAUCGAGCCAGGUGGAAGCGCAUUAAUGGUAACUCUGGUAUUUUCAAAGCAGACCAUAUUGAAGGUGCUGCAGAUAAGUUACAUGCGAAUGUGUUGGUUGUGAUUGGGUUGUGGCCAGAGUACAAGGGAGUAAAGUGGGAGGGGUGGCAUUAUUCUCUCCCCUGUAAAUCACAGCAACAAUAGCCAAUGGUGGUCAACUGUGAGCUCAUGUUUUGCAGAAGGAAAUAUCUGUUUCUCAGAGGAAGCAUGCACUAGCCUUCACCAUCCCUGGUUAGUAGUAACAUCCCUGCCAUGUGAUAGAGGAGAGCUAGCUAGGUGGGGGAGGACUGGAGAAAUGGGGUAUGUAUGUACGUAUGUAUGUUUGACCGUUAAAAAUUGUCGGACACAAUGUCCGGUAAACAUGUUAACACGAAGCAGAUAUACAUUAGACAAAGUACAUUUGCAAUUGUUCACCUAAAUAAGGUCUCUAUGUCUGUGCAAAUAUAUAUUGUUUAUGUUUCUCCUGUAGUGGGUAUUCUGACUGGCUCGCUAUUACAUCCUUGAUACUUACGCAGUUUGUAUAUGUGAGCGUGUGCGGUAUAUAGCUCAAAUAUUACAAGUCCAUCUGCCGAAAAAUGCCGGACAAAAAGAUUUCACAAAACCGCUUCUGUGCCAUGAAAAAUCGCAGAAAAUAGUCAUAAAAAUGAAGAGAAACAAAUUAGUGUGGGAAAUUAUAUGAUUUUCGGUAUUUUAAUAUUUCUUUGUAAACAGAAAUAUACGUGGCAAACUGUAGUUUAGCAUUUUGCUGCAUCCUGUUUUUGUUUUGAAAGUUUGUUUUUUAGACACUAAUUCCACACUACUGUCUAUUAGACAGUAAAUAUACUUUUACCUUUCAUUUGACUUGAUUGUUUUGUUAUUAUUAUAUUGUAUAUACUAUGCAUAAUCCAAAAUGUUACACGGGGCAAAAAUAAACACCGAAAUGUAUAUUGUUUACGUUUUACCAAAAUUUCUAAGUGAAAACUCUGAUACGUAUGUAUGCAUGUAUAUUGUAACAAUCAACCUAUCAAACAAACAAACAAAUAAAUAAAUAAAUGUGGAAUAUUCCAGAGCUCGAAGGAGAGUCUUAUGCGUUUGAAUGCACAUGAGUACACAGUUUAAAGUUGCUCAGUGAACUCAUUCCUGAGUAGAUUAUUGGAGGAUUUUUUGAGAAAGCAUGCAGCUAUUCUUCAGCAUUCUCAUGCUUCCCUUCUGUCUUAUCCAACCCAGUGGCACGGCCUACUCACAGUCCCACGCACACAUCCAGGCACCGAGCCAAAGGGGCAGUGGUGAGACCCUGGUGGAACCCGUGCACCAUGAGCCCUGACUUUUACGACUUCAUUAUUUUCCUUCCCCGUGACGCUCGCUUUCAUUUGUGCAAGCCUCCAUGUUGGCAUAAUGACUCCUCUAUAAAAACGUUGCUUUAAAAAGAGCUUUGCAUACUAUCCCAUUUUCUGUUGAAUCCUUCAGCAAGCAUAUGGCAGGUAAUCAGGUUGGCAAUCACAGGGCCCAUAAUAUGUGCAGCAUGAUUUCAGCAUUGUGCUAUUACCCAUCUGGUUCUGCACACAGAGACAUGAACCUUAGUGAGAGAGGUCAGCGCUUUCAUGGCACUGCCACUUUCUCAAAAGCCGUCUCCUUCCCAGGACACAUUAUUUGUUAUUUUUUCUGGACUCCCAGCCAAACCCUUUCUCUAUCCCUCCUCCUCUCUUUCUCUCCCUCAAUCAUCCAUUUAUUCCCUCUCUCUCUCUCUCUCUCUCUCUCUCUCUCUCUCUCUCUCAGUCACAUCAGUGGAGUGUGUCUGGUGAGUGAGCAGCACUGAUCCUGCUUUGACAUUCACAUUACACACUUAAAAAUUGUCAAUGCUUUAAAUGUAUUAAAUGUGUGCCAAGGUCCAGUGAGUUCUUUGUGAAGAGUUUGAAAAUAAGUAAUCAUCUCAUCCGUAGGAAAAAGAAAAAAAAAUAGAAGGAGAAAAGAGGCAGCAGCUGUGAUGGAACAUUUCGGAGAAUUUCCUGCAUUCUGAGCAUGUGCAACGAAAAUGUAAUAAUACUGAUAAUCAGCAUUCAUUGUAACAAGCAAGGAUUAUAUAAGUCAUUUGUCCAUUUAUUGCUCUGUAGUCUUUUUAUUUAAGCAAUGUUAGGGAAGAUGUAAGCCACAAUAUGCUAGGAAGAAUAUUUAUAAAUCAAGUAACAUUUCCGGAAGAUAGUCUGUAGUUCAAAAUAAAUGCAUAAAAAAAACAAUUAAAUAAAGAAAAAAGACAGACGAACGGACGGACAGACAGACAGACAGACAGACAGACAGACAGACAGACAGACAGAUAGAUAGAUAGAUAGGAAAAAAAUAUAGGCUUCUUUGACAAUAAGGACACAGCACAUUCACUUGUUGCAGGAACGAUUUAAAUUAUCAUUUUCAUCUUAUUAAAUGAUUUGGUGUCUGAUCAAGCAUAUUAAAAACCCACCUACACAGUGGUUGUUUAAUGGUGACUUUUGAACCUUUUUCAUGAAUACUAUGUAUUAUUUAUGAAUUAUUUAUGUAAUUAUUUAUGAGCUAGUUAAUAAUUAAAAGGUGAAUACACUACAGUUAUGCUACUGAAAAUCAACAACACUGGUCAUUUGAUUGAGAGCUCAGUUCAAAGAAUUUCCCAACUCUUUUGUCGCUAUUGAUCCACUGUUGCGCUGACAUAGUGGAUGUCUUUAAUACCGGCAGUUUCACACACUGAGGCCUGCAGUGACUCGCUGCCAAACUGCAACACACGUGUUAAUUAGUCCUGUAUGUAAUCACGUAGCUAAUUCACUUGGCGGGCCUGCAAAUAUGAUAAUAAGACUACAUAUAUUAGUACUGAUAGGAAAUGAAUCAUUUUCAUAGCAAUAAACCAUUGUAGCACUUGAUAUUACUUAUUACAUUUCUACAUUUCUGUGCAUUAACAAUGUUUUUUUCCCCCUCCAUGUACAAUUUUAAUUACGUAGCUAAUCGUUAAAGUAAACGUCUUAAGUAAAACAAUAAAGAUGCAAGAAAUUAGAGAGGUUCACAAAAAAUGUGCAUGCUGAGCACUACUGUAAAAUACUAACCAACAGUUAAACAUGCCACACAAAUAAAUCUGGCCUUCAUGUCUUGUACACGCAUUAAAAGCUGGUUAGGUUGCACAUGAGGUCAGUAAAAGAGAGUGAAAAUGUCUGGAAUCAAGCAGUAAUGCUUAAAUAACAAUAACCUUAGAGCAGCCAGUAAGAUAUUCAACAUUUGUCUGGGCUACUUUAGUAUGAUGUGUAUAAAAACAUGCGGUUACAACUCUUAUCACCCAUAACACUGGAAGGGACUGAUCCUUUUAAGCAGAAUGACAAGUGGAGUAGCAUCCACCAUUUGAAUGACUUUUAUUGGGCUUUAAAAUUACUGGAGAGGUGAAGGGGUCAAGAGGGAGAGCUUACAGGAGAGCCGAGGAAAAAAAAAAAAAUCAUUUUUCCUGGCAAAGAAUAACAGGCUCUGUGUCAGUGCCAUAAACACAAACUGAACACAAAAGACAUUUCAAGUCAGUAUAAAAUACAGUAGGCUCUAUGGGGCAAGACAAAAGCGGCUGGAAGAUAAAGGCUUCAUUGACAAGCUGAGCACUGAAGACAACUUAACCCUGGAUCUGGCAGCAUGCAUGGAAGCAAUUAUUUCCACCUCUGAGUCUGCUUAGGAUGAGCCCCUUGCAUUUUUGUGGUACAGUUCUUCAUUGCUUCUACUCCCACAUACUACAGUGUGCGUUUCUGAAAAUUUGACUUACAGUGAGGGAAGGAAAGGGGAAGAGUGGGAGUGAAAAGAAAAAUGUGUUAUUUGGUACUAGGGGUAUGACGGUUUAAUGAUAUGACAGUGGGGAUGACAUCUCUCUCUCACUCUCUCUCUUUCUCUCUCUCUCUCUCUAGCAGGAGCAUUUUAUUAAAGUUUUAUGCUAAUAAAAUAAUUGAAGAUUAUGAGAGAAAACUGCAAUUCUACCUCCUUCUACAUAUCCAAUAUGUGUACAAUACAAGAUAUAUAGUAUACAGUACAACAAUUAAACAAUUACAUAUUACAAUUACAAGAUUUAAAUGUAAUAUUUAAUGCUACAGUAUUAUAAUGUAUUCCUAUGUGAGUCAGAAACGACUCACUCACUCACGUGAGUCACUUUCACUCAACGUGGAACAUACAUUAAAUACAACUGAACCAUAAAACUUCAAUAUGCAAAAUCAGCAGUACUGUGCAAAAGUUUUAGGCACCCUGUUUUUCUUAGUAAAAAUUUUAUUAUAGUUUUUUUUCUUUUAUUUGAUGACUUCUACAUUAUCAAGUCAGUACAAAAAACAUUUCCCCAAACAUUGGGUUUCUAGCACAAAAUUAAAUGUUACAGAAAAAUGUUUGUAUGUCAUUAAAGAAAGCAGCAAAUUACAUAAGAGGCACUUUUCAGACAAAAAACAUAACGAAGGCUGCUGGAUUUUGCUGCAAAAAUAAAAAGCAAGUGCGACAGGCAAAUUCUCCAGAAGAACUUGAUAGCUAAUUUCCUUAAAAAACUGCACUAAUUGUACUGGAGACUACUAUUUUUUUUUAUUAUUUAUUUAUUUUUGUCACACUAAAUAUUGACUUUGUUUCAUUUACUACUGUUAACUGCUCUUUAUGCAAUUUUUUUAAAAUGUAGAAACGUUUAAUUUUAUUAUUUUGAAAGUAUCUUUGCUCUACAGCUUUUCUUUGCAUGUGCCUAAAACUUUUGCACAGUACUGUAUCUGAUAAAAAAUUUAAACACCUAAAAGGCAAAGAGCAAUCUUCAUAGUAGUUCUAUUUGAGAGAAGAAACAAACCCUGUCGUUUCCCAAAACACAGAAUUUAAUACCCAUGCCACUACUACAAUGUUACUAAAAAAUGUUAUUUAUUUUCAAAAAGGUUGUAACCAGCUUUCAUGAUUUUGAGUUGUAUAAGAAUUCUUCAUAUGGUGUCAUGGCAUGUAUUUCUGUGCAGAAAAACACAUUCACCCCAACGCAUGCACAGCUGAGCUAAUUGAGUUUAUAGUGAACAACUACAGCUAGCAUAGCACUGGCUAUUAUUUGUGAAAGAAGAAAAAAUGAAUGGAAAUAAAAUGAAAAUACAAAACAUCUCUCUCACUAUUACUACCUUAAAUUAAAAAAAACAAACUGUCACACACUAUAGCAUGUUAUUUAAAAUCUAUGGCUAAUGCUCCUAGUAGUAUUAAUAAUACAUUCACUCAUGAUCUAAUACUUUAUAUAUUAUCCUUUUUAAUUUCAUACAUUAAGUUCAUACAGAGAGUGGCAUCAUCUGCUUUUUCUUUCCAGUCCCAUUAAGCUAUCAAUAUCUCAAAGUGUAAACAACAAAUGUUUAUUUGGGACUGGAUCUCUGAUUAUAUCCCCCUAGCUGAAAAGCACGUGAUGUGGAAUACAUUACAAUGCACUAAAAGUUUCUCUCACUCUCUCUCUCUCUCUCUCUCUCUCUCUCUCUCUCUCGCUGCCUGCUGAAGGUCUUGUUUGUACAACUCUCAGCCCAAAUCUAUUAUUACUUCCUAAACUGACGAAUCAUUUCCACAAAUACACGCUUCCCCUCAUGCUCGCUGAUAAGAUAAAUAGUGAAGUCGACAGACACGGAGGACAGGCACGGAGCUAAGACGUUCACAUUUCAAUAUGCAAAACAUCUCUCUAUGAUUGUCCAUUUACAGAAAAUAGGAAGAAGAAAAAAAACUAGCAAUAGGCAUGGGACCGAUCCAACACCCAUGAUUGGUAUCAGACCGAUACCAGCAAACGAGAGGAACGGAUAUCAGUUGGAAAAAAGAAAUGGAAAAGAUUGGAAUUAAAUUUGGAAAAGAUUUCUUUUGAACUGGAAAUGUUUACAUACUUGAUUGUACUUGAUUUAUUUUUUAUUAUACAGGGGGUCCCAAAAGUCGCCAUACACGGGGUAAAUGAACACUUUUUAGCAAAAUGUCUUCCAAAAUUGUUCAUACUUAGUUUAUAUAUUAUAUAUUUUUACCACAGAUAGCCUUCAGAAUGCCUUUAACAAAAGUAGAAAGCAUUGAAAUCAUUCCCAAUGUUGCCAAACUUAUUAACAAAUUCAAAAUUUGUUGUGAACCAACCCAGACGUGGAUGUCCAUGAACAUUCCUAUGUGCGGAGACUAUUUGGGACACCCUGUAUUUACACUUUAUACUUUAUGUUAGCUAUGUAUCUUCCCCUGUAGGUUUUUUCUUUUUUAAGUGAAAUCUGAUACUCAAGAAUUCAGUAUUGGAAAACUAAAAAAAUGGUAUUGUGCCAUCUCUAACUAGCAAAUGAACAUCCAUGAAGCUGUCACUGACUUAAUUUUUCAUUAUAACCCAAUAUCCAACAAAUUCCAGCUACUUAUAAGCAAACUAUGAUCACGAAGUCAUUCUAGGGUGUCUACUCUCACCUUUAUUGACAACAACGGUCAAAAAUCCUGUGGUCAUGUCAUUCAUUUUCAUCCAUGGUAAAAUGGUUGGAUCUUUUUCCCCGUACUGAAUAACAGAUGUUAAAAGUGAAACUACAAAAGUUAUUAAUAAUUAACACUGUUAUUAACACAUGCAUGUAUAUAUAUGCAUGUAUGUAUGUAUGUAUGUAUGUAUGUGUGUGUGUGUGUGUCUGUGUGUGUAUAUAUAUAUAUAUAUAUAUAUA
ensembl:lncRNA